UAUAGAAGACAGCGCGCUAGCGUAUCUAGUCUGUGUGUAUCUAUGGUCGGUAUGUCUGGUAGCAUCUCUGGCUGCUGUUGAUCUUGUAUUUGGAGUAAAACACGGUGGAAGCUGAAUUAGUGAGGAUGACUCCUGCUCCUGUCAUCUCUAAGCUCCUCACACAUCUUUACCUGCACAUGAGGAAAAUCACUCCUGUAGAAUGCAGAUGUUCAGAGGGAGAUGAUGCCACAUCUGGUCCAGCUGAUGGAAGGUCUUGAAGUUCUCUGACUGGCCUCGACUGAAGAUGGUCGUCUCACUGGAUUUAAGGUUCAGAUGCUCAGUAACAAACUCCACCAAUGUGCCAACAGGGAAGCUUUAGGUUUAUUAAAUGUUGCUAUGAAGGUAUCGCUGUUUUUCUUUGUGAAUGCAAUGUGCUCCAACUGAAAGUUGAAUUAGAACUUAGAAGUAAAUCCUUCCAGAUGAAAGCUGUGAUGGUGGUGGAUUGUCAGACUGUAAUGUUGCAGCUCAAAGCAGCUUUUCUAGCUCAGUUCAUUCUGACAUUCAGCUAUGAAUCAACACAGCAGAUGGUGAUCCAUGCUGUGGAAGUCUCACAUCUCCUGAUUUAAUGGAGCUGCUUUGCACUUUUUACACUGUUUAUUCACCAACACUUUAUUUAAUAAAAGUCCCAUCUAGUCUUUAUGAGGAAUGUGAUGUUUUAAUUUCUCUGUGAAUAACUGCAGUCUAAUGGAACAGCUGGAAUUGUAACAUCUGUCCUGAUAUUGAUCAUGAAGUAUUGAUCAGAAUACUUAUGGUUAGCAGUCAUCCCUGAAGUUUUACAGUAAAAUCUUUACUUGUGUUGUGAACUUUGGUAAGAAGCAGAAACUUUUGCGUUGCCAUGGAUACAUGAGUGUUAAAUUCUGUCCAUGUUUUUAUUUUGGGAAAUGCAGUUCAGUUCCAGAAUGUGGAGGAAUUUAGUCUCACAAUCACAGACAACAAAUAUCAUCUGAAAGUCGGGUUAUUGUUGUUUAUCAGCACAAUACAAAAAGAUUAAUGUUAGAAAUAUUCCAGCUAAGACUCUAGAAUAUCAGGAUUUAUGUAAAUUUACCUCAAUAAUAUGAAUGUUCAGGUUAAGAUUGUACAGUGAUAUUUAUUAUGCAAGUUUAGCUGAUUAAAGUUUAUGACUGCACUAAAAUAUUAUUUAAAUUGACAUCAUUAUUAUAAUAUUUAGGGUCAGACCCUACAGUAUUGAGAUUAAGAAAUCAAAUAUUCUUUAAAAUGUAAAUACAGUGAACUCAUUUGGAUAUAUUUAAGUGAGACUCUACAAUUUUAUUUGACACAAAUCUAUCUAAAUCAAAGUUUUAAUAAUUUUCACACCAAACAUUUACUGGACUGAUUUAAAUAUUAAAAUCACUCCUUUCUAAUCCUCUGCUGUACGUUCAAACCUGAGGCCUUAAAUAGAAACACACAAGUAUCUGAUUGAAGGAACUUCUGCAGAGUCCUGGUUCCAGAACAUGAUGAUAGAUUUAUAGACAAACUUUAGUAAAAGCUGCCUGAGAGUUUACAGGUUUUUAUGUUGGAUUUCUUCACUAAUUUAAUAAGUUAUCAGCAAAAAUCGUGUUCAUUUGAUGAACUUCAUUUCCUAAAACAUACAGAAUUGGAGCUCAUAUCUUUGGCAGCUGUAAAGUUUCUGCUCCUUCAAAGUUCACAACACAAUGAAUGAAUUCCUAAAACACUCUCAAUGCUGGAGAGCGUUUGAUGCUGAAGCAGUGACCAGUUUUUCUGUUUCUUCUCUGGAGAUGCACAAUGAGGGACGCCUGCAGCGACUGAGAAAGAGUCUCGCCACAUCCUGACAUGAGGAAAAAGACUUUAUUGAAGACUGCAAUGAGAAAAACUAUCAGAUAGCAGACGGCUGCAUUCAAGGUGAGCUCUGAACAUCUAAUCUGGAACAGGAAUUCAAUCACGGCAGCAUGAGCUUCAUUUCAGUCUGUAGCUGCUGAAUUCAUGGAUGAAUCAUCUGGCACUAUAGAGGAAGACCAUCAAACAUCCACAUCAGCUGAUGGAGGUCCAAGAGUUUCACCAAACAACCAACCUACAGAGUGAAGACCUCAAAUCUGAUUGGACGGUCUCCUAUUCAGCCACGUGUGAAGAAAUGCCUCUAAGCUGAUUUGUUUUCUAAAAUAAAUCUAGUUUGAGUCCUAA